GAUGAACGCUGGCGGCGUGCCUAAUACAUGCAAGUCGAGCGAACAGAUGAGGAGCUUGCUCCUCAGACGUUAGCGGCGGACGGGUGAGUAACACGUGGAUAACCUACCUAUAAGACUGGGAUAACUACGGGAAACCGGAGCUAAUACCGGAUAAUAUAUUGAACCGCAUGGUUCAAUAGUGAAAGACGGUUUUGCUGUCACUUAUAGAUGGAUCCGCGCCGCAUUAGCUAGUUGGUAAGGUAACGGCUUACCAAGGCAACGAUGCGUAGCCGACCUGAGAGGGUGAUCGGCCACACUGGAACUGAGACACGGUCCAGACUCCUACGGGAGGCAGCAGUAGGGAAUCUUCCGCAAUGGGCGAAAGCCUGACGGAGCAACGCCGCGUGAGUGAUGAAGGUCUUCGGAUCGUAAAACUCUGUUAUUAGGGAAGAACAAAUGUGUAAGUAACUAUGCACGUCUUGACGGUACCUAAUCAGAAAGCCACGGCUAACUACGUG
rnacentral:rRNA from 1 species